GUAAACAGUAACAAUAGAGUCUUAAAUUGAAGUUUGUUGUCUGGAUGACAAUGCCAAAAAUCAGUUCUGUAUCGAAACCUACAGGACCGAAACAAGCAUAUCGAAAAUAAUAUUACAUUGCAAAGCCAACAGAGUCCAGCAUACAAAAAAACUCGAGAGUCAUUCCUGUGAAUCACGCAAAAAAGAUGAAGAAACAGUGGGUAUGGCCAAACUCUGUGAUCAUUUUAGAGGAGUAUAAGAGGAAGUGGAGAAGUGUAGAUGGUCCAAAUGAAUACAUAUACUCCUGAGGUCGGAGCUGUAAACACGCCGCUAUAUUUGUUAUAUCCUCCACCCAAAUUUGUUUUCACUAUAUCAAACACUAAGGUGUGGUGGAUGCUUGGAUUUGGUAUCGGAUGAGAAAGGUAGGCAUAGAAGGCAAUGAUAUUACUGGAAGAUCUGGUAUUUCU